rnacentral:rRNA from 1 species
AUUGAACGCUGGCGGCAGGCCUAACACAUGCAAGUCGAACGAGGGGCGGGCGGGUGAGUAAUGGCUGGGAAACUGCCUGAUGGGGGUGAUAACUACUGGAAACCGUUGCUAAUACCGCAUACCAGCUGAGCUUCCCACAUGGGAUUAGCUAGUAGGGGCGGUAACGGCUCACCUAGGCGACGAUCCCCAGCUGGUCUGAGAGGAUGACCAGCCACACUGGAACUGAGACACGGUCCAGACUCCUACGGGAGGCAGCAGUGGGGAAUAUUGCACAAUGGGCGAAAGCCUGAUGCAGCCAUGCCGCGUGUGUGAAGAAGGCCUUCGGAUUGUAAAGCACUUUCAGCGGGGAGGCGUUACCCGCAGAAGAAGCACCGGCUAACUCCGUGCCAGCAGCCGCGGUAAUUC